GUUGUUGCUGCUUCAAUCACUGGUGGAUCAGAGUUCUGAUCUUCAUAGGAUUGUUUGUCGUGAUCUUCUACAAUUCUUGUUACUGCAUUCACGGGUGGAUCAAUAUCUUCACCCUUGAAUUCAGUAACCAUUACUUGAUCUUCUACACGCCCCCUUAAUCUGGAGGGUAGGUCACGAACAUUCAGAUUGCGUUGAACCUGGCUGAAUUUAAC
rnacentral:lncRNA from 1 species